UAAUGUAUGGGGAUCUGCCCGAUAGAGGGGAAUAACUACUGGAAACGGUAGCUAAUACCGCAUAACGUCGCAAGACCAAAGUGGGGGACCUUCGGGCCUCAUGCCAUCAGAUGUGCCCAGAUGGGAUUAGCUAGUAGGUGGGGUAAUGGCUCACCUAGGCGACGAUCCCUAGCUGGUCUGAGAGGAUGACCAGCCACACUGGAACUGAGACACGGUCCAG
rnacentral:rRNA from 1 species